rnacentral:rRNA from 1 species
GUGAGGAAUAUUGGACAAUGGGCGCAAGCCUGAUCCAGCCAUGCCGCGUGCAGGAAGACGCAUCUAUGGUGUGUAAACUGCUUUUGUACGGGAAGAAACACUCCCUCGUGAGGGAGCUUGACGGUACCGUAAGAAUAAGGAUCGGCUAACUCCGUGCCAGCAGCCGCGGUAAUACGGAGGAUCCAAGCGUUAUCCGGAAUCAUUGGGUUUAAAGGGUCCGUAGGCGGUUUAAUAAGUCAGUGGUGAAAGCCCAUCGCUCAACGAUGGAACGGCCAUUGAUACUGUUAGACUUGAAUUACAAGGAAGUAACUAGAAUAUGUAGUGUAGCGGUGAAAUGCUUAGAUAUUACAUGGAAUACCAAUUGCGAAGGCAGGUUACUACUUGUGGAUUGACGCUGAUGGACGAAAGCGUGGGGAGCGAACAGGAUUAGAAACCAGUGUAGUCC